UAUUUCUGGAUACAACUGUUACCUGAUUGU
rnacentral:piRNA from 1 species